rnacentral:rRNA from 1 species
AUGAACGCUGGCGGCGUGCCUAAUACAUGCAAGUCGCGCGCACAGACGAGGAGCUUGCUCCUCUGACGUUAGCGGCGGACGGGUGAGUAACACGUGGAUAACCUACCUAUAAGACUGGGAUAACUUCGGGAAACCGGAGCUAAUACCGGAUAAUAUAUUGAACCGCAUGGUUCAAUAGUGAAAGACGGUUUUGCUGUCACUUAUAGAUGGAUCCGCGCCGCAUUAGCUAGUUGGUAAGGUAACGGCUUACCAAGGCAACGAUGCGUAGCCGACCUGAGAGGGUGAUCGGCCACACUGGAACUGAGACACGGUCCAGACUCCGACGGGAGGCAGCAGUAGGGAAUCUUCCGCAAUGGGCGAAAGCCUGACGGAGCAACGCCGCGUGAGUGAUGAAGGUCUUCGGAUCGUAAAACUCUGUUAUUAGGGAAGAACAAAUGUGUAAGUAACUAUGCACGUCUUGACGGUACCUAAUCAGAAAGCCACGGCUAACUACGUG